CCUACGGGAGGCAGCAGUGGGGAAUUUUGGACAAUGGGCGCAAGCCUGAUCCAGCAAUGCCGCGUGAGUGAAGAAGGUCUUCGGGUUGUAAAGCUCUUUUGUCAGGGAAGAAACGGCCUGUUCUAAUACAGUGGGCUAAUGACGGUACCUGAAGAAUAAGCACCGGCUAACUACGUGCCAGCAGCCGCGGUAAUACGUAGGGUGCAAGCGUUAAUCGGAAUUACUGGGCGUAAAGCGUGCGCAGGCGGUUUUGUAAGUCUGUCGUGAAAUCCCCGGGCUCAACCUGGGAAUGGCGAUGGAGACUGCAAGGCUAGAGUUUGGCAGAGGGGGGUAGAAUUCCACGUGUAGCAGUGAAAUGCGUAGAUAUGUGGAGGAACACCGAUGGCGAAGGCAGCCCCCUGGGUCAAAACUGACGCUCAUGCACGAAAGCGUGGGGAGCAAACAGGAUUAGAUACCCUGGUAGUCCACGCCCUAAACGAUGUCUACUAGUUGUCGGGUCUUAAUUGACUUGGUAACGCAGCUAACGCGUGAAGUAGACCGCCUGGGGAUCGGUCGCAAGNUUAAAACNCAAAGGAAUUGNGNGNGAGAGNGCGAGACGACGACGAGGAGAGG
rnacentral:rRNA from 1 species